AAGGAGUCCAAUAUGUGGAUCCAGUGAUUGGUGGGCAGCGCAGAACUUGCUGGUGCUUUUCACACAUAGGACAUCCUGGUUUGAUGCCAAGGGAUCUGCAGCUGAUGGAUACUUUCAAGGUAUGUGAUGUAGUGAUAGUGAGGAAAUAUCUGGACUCUGCUAUUUGCUAAGAGAGAAUUGCACAAGAGUCUUAAAAAUCAUUUCUCUAAAUGCAACAUUGGAAAACCAGAACUCAUGCCUGACCUCAUUCGACAGCUGCUAUGGCCCUUAUAAAGGGAUUAACAACCUGGACAUAAAACAAAGGUUAUUGCCAGUCAUUAUGGUGUGAUACUGCUCAACACAAUUAGGACACAUCACAAGUCUACAUGGAGCUAUGCCUGAGUGGAGGAAUACAGAGAAAAAUGGUGAUUUACCAAUCUCUGUGAAGAAGCCCUGAUGCUGUGUUUAAGGGGAAGCUACAGAAGGAGAGAAACUGGAGGCCACUAAUACUGCAGUGUGAAACCAUGGCAGAAAACAUCUACCUGACACCAAAAAUGUCCAUCACUUUUCCCCCCCAAAAAACCCCAACCCAGAAUGUAUGCUUCCUUUUUUUGGUACUAUGUACAUUAUCUAUCUGUCCUCAUGGGAUCCUUUAGGUCUGCAAAAUGUGUCUGCAUGAUGCAGGGAUGAUCAAUAAGGAAAGCUGAGUCCUGACCCUGGCAGGGUUUCUGACUCUGAACAUCUCAGACGACGCCUCCCAGCCCAGACGAGAUCUGCUUCUGUGCUGAGUAAGGAGGAGCUUUGGUAGCUUGAGCCUCCUCACCAGGAUUUAGCAACUUUUACUCUUCAGAGACACAUGCAAAGAGACAAAACGAUGAUUAUACUGCAUGAUAAGUAUAAAGAAAUGAUACCAUUGUAAUAUUACUGGUUAUUUUUCAUAGUAAUUUAGAGGUGAGCCCAUGUGUUUCAAUGAUGAAAGAAUGGGUUAACUUAUAAUAUGCUAAGUUCUUUUCAUUAGUUGAUUAAUUUUUCACUUAAAUUCUAAAAAAGUCAUUAUUUCAUGUUUAAGCUUUCACUUCCACCUCCUUUUGUAGUGCUUUUCUUAAUUACCUGCAGUAAUUUGCAUCAGCAAGAAACUAAGAAUGCUUUGCAUGUCUUUAGUGUCUUCCCUCCUCUUUAGCUAUUGAUGUAGCUGCACAGAGAGAGCUCAGCACUGCAGCAUCUGGCAUUUUGAAUCACUAUUAUAAACAUUAAUUAAAUAAACCUCUCGAUA